rnacentral:lncRNA from 1 species
GUCAACUAAAAAGCUUCAGUAAAUAUAUAACAAGAACCUACGAAACUUCCAAAUCAGUGGGAAAAUGUUCUAACUUCAAAAAUCACUAAUGAAUACAUCCUAAAGCAAAGUGCUGCAUUUGAAAAUCAGUCUCUCGGUUACCUGUCAAGUCCAGAGCUUCAGGAGUUUGAGGUAUACCCUGGAAUAGCAGCUGACAAGCUAUUGAAAUGAAAAUUCUGAAUAAAAUUAGGGCAGCCCAUUAGCCCAAAUGCGGGAACAUGGUAAGAGAUUUCAUGGAUUUGUGAGUUUGUGAUUUUUUUCUUGUCAUUGAUAUUCUUACUUUGAAAAGUAUAGAAAGUAAUUUUUGCAUUUUUUGGGGUAGGGAGGGAAUAAAAACCCAAACUGAGAUCUGAGGUUUUUAUAGUUUGGCAAAUUUCAAAGAUAUGAAAGCAGAAUUUUUGGCACUUGGGGAUUGAGAGGCAAAUGACAUCAUAUGGCUUAAGGGAAAUAGAGAGCUAAAAACGUACAUUUGGAAAAUUUCAGAAGCUGGCUGCCGCUGAAAUAAUUUUGAAUUUUUUUCCAGUAAAUUUAGUUGUCACAAAAGGCACUAGAUUGACAGCCCCGCAGAGGAAAGCGUGCGGGUCCGGGAGAUGCAAUGUCAGCUCCUGCCUGAGGAGCGCCAGGGCUGGAGGGCCUGUGGUUGCCUUGUCGGAGCUGGCCUUUCCGGGGCCACUCCCUGCGCUGGUGACACUUUGGGGGAUUCUCUCUUGUUGACACCGAUGGUUAUACCUAAUUCCAACCUUCCAGUACUGAGUCCAAAGGAGGCAAGGAGAACCAAGGGGGAAAUGGAGAUCCUCAAAUCAAGUCUUGUUCAGUGGGAAGGUCAUGAAUUAAGGGUGAAGAGAUCCAGUCCUGGAUGGGGAUCCAUACUCAGUGCAGAGUUUGCUUAAGGCUCUCUCUUUUUAAAAUAUGUAAGUAAAAUCUUUAAAAUAAAAUAAAGUGGUAAUUUUUUAUUGCAGUAAAAUAUGCAUUACAUACAAUUUAUCAUUUUAAGCAUUUUUACGUCUACAUUUCAGUGAUGUGUAGAACAUUCAUGCGGUUGUGCAACAAACAACCUUCCCAGAACUUUUUCAUCUUCCCAAACUGAAAUUUUGUCCCCAUUAAACACCCCCUUCUUCCUUUCCUCCCAGCCCUUGGCAAGCACCCUUAUAUUUUCUUUCUUUAUGAAUUUGUACCUUGGUACUUAGAGUAUUUGUGUAUUUGUCCUUUGUGACUGGCUUGUUUUACUGAAUGUCAAUGUCUUCA